rnacentral:rRNA from 1 species
UACGUAGGGUGCAAGCGUUAAUCGGAAUUACUGGGCGUAAAGCGUGCGCAGGCGGUUGUGUAAGACAGAUGUGAAAUCCCCGGGCUCAACCUGGGAACUGCAUUUGUGACUGCACAGCUGGAGUGCGGCAGAGGGGGAUGGAAUUCCGCGUGUAGCAGUGAAAUGCGUAGAUAUGCGGAGGAACACCGAUGGCGAAGGCAAUCCCCUGGGCCUGCACUGACGCUCAUGCACGAAAGUGUGGGGAGCGAACAGG